rnacentral:lncRNA from 1 species
GUGGCCUGGAAGGCAGCCGGAGAGGUGGCCUGGAAGGAAGUUGGAGAGGUGGCCUGGAAGGCAGCUGGAGAUGUGGCCUGGGAGGCAGCUGGAGAGGUGGCCUGGAUAGCAGUGGGCACAGUGGGCAUAAAUCAGCUGCCCUCAAGAGAUACACUGACAACUUCUGCUCCUGCUCAUCAAUGAAGACCCCGUUUCCACUACGGUAGCCUACAAGCUCUCUCGACCCCUUCUCCAGUAGCUUCUUUCUCUGCAGAAUCUGCACAGCAUCACAUGAUAUAUGCCAUACAACUUUGCAACCGAUCUGAUUGAUUUCCCCUGCUCUGUUACAUAAUUUGACGCUCUUUUCAAAGUGUGGAGAGGUACUCCCCUGUCUGUUUUUCUUUUCCAUGAUCUAGGCAUGCUGAAAGUAAAAGAAAACAUUUACCAAAACAUCCAGUUUUAGUCGGGGUUAGUUGUAACAUUUUCUCACAAGUUGUUACAACUUUAGCAUUGCUAACUUUCAUCAAAUAUCUCUACACAGACUGGUUAUAAACCUGAUAUAACUUUGCUGAAUGAAACUACAAAGCACUUUAUGCCAUCACAAAAACAAAUUUGGUCAAAAUAAUUACUUUCUUACCUCAACAUUUCUGUCAAUAGCAUUUGCAGAGUUUAUCACAGGGACUUGCUUUUUCACGAGGGUUCAGGACUAAACUGAGCAUGUGCACAGAGAAUCAUAUGAUUAUACCUCGCUCCUGAUUGGAGGAAUUUUCCCGUGUUACAACCAUCCCCGGUCUCCCCUACCACAUUCAAGUGGUGUGGUAACACAAGACCACAAUGUUGGUGUACUUUGUAAUUGACUGUAUGUUACACAGUAGAGAGAUCUUAAACAUAAGUAUUCACCUCCCUUGGAUUUCUUCACAUUUUAUUGUGUUACAAAGUGGGAUUAAAAUUAAUUGAAUUGUCAUUUUUUGUCAACAAUUUACUCAAAAUAUUCUGUAAUGUCAAAGUGGAAGAAAAAUUUGAUUUUUUGUUAAGAUUAAUGAAAGAUAAAAGACUAAUAUACCUUGAUUAGAUAAGUAUUCACCCACCUAAAUCAAUACAUGUUAGAAACACCUUUUUACAGCCAUAGCCAUAGAUUUUUUAAAGCAGAUUUAAGUCAAAACUAACUUGGCCACUCAGGAACAUUCACUGUCUUUCUGGUAAGCAACUCCAGUGUCUGCAGACUGAAGCAGGUUUUCCUCUAGGAUUUUGCUUGUGCUUAGCUCCAACAUGUUGUGUUUUGCAUUUGCCCCAAACAUAAGGCUUUGCAUUUAGGUCAAAAAGUGUAUUAUUUUGCAGUUAAUGUUUUGUUGUUGCAGUAUUACUUUAGUGCCUUGUUGCAUACAAGAUGCAUGCUUUGUAAUAUUUU